AACGAACGCUGGCGGCAGGCUUAACACAUGCAAGUCGAACGCCCCGCAAGGGGAGUGGCAGACGGGUGAGUAACGCGUGGGAACAUACCCUUUUCUACGGAAUAGCUCUGGGAAACUGGAAUUAAUACCGUAUACGCCCUAAGGGGGAAAGAUUUAUCGGGGAAGGAUUGGCCCGCGUUGGAUUAGCUAGUUGGUGGGGUAAAGGCCUACCAAGGCGACGAUCCAUAGCUGGACUGAGAGGAUGAUCAGCCACAUUGGGACUGAGACACGGCCCAAACUCCUACGGGAGGCAGCAGUGGGGAAUAUUGGACAGUGGGCGCAAGCCUGAUCCAGCCAUGCCGCGUGAGUGAUGAAGGCCUUAGGGUUGUAAAGCUCUUUCACCGAUGAAGAUAAUGACGGUAGUCGGAGAAGAAGCCCCGGCUAACUUCGUGCCAGCCGCCGCGGUAAUAC
rnacentral:rRNA from 1 species